rnacentral:rRNA from 1 species
UGGGGAAUAUUGGACAAUGGGGGAAACCCUGAUCCAGCCAUGCCGCGUGAGUGAAGAAGGCCUUCGGGUUGUAAAGCUCUUUUGGCGGGGAAGAUAAUGACGGUACCCGCAGAAUAAGCACCGGCAAACUUCGUGCCAGCAGCCGCGGUAAUACGAAGGGUGCAAGCGUUGUUCGGAAUUACUGGGCGUAAAGGGCGCGGAGGCGGCUUUGUUAGUCAGAUGUGAAAUCCCAAGGCUCAACCUUGGAGUUGCAUUUGAUACUGCAAAGCUCGAGUUAGGUAGAGGAUGGUGGAAUUCCUAGUGUAGAGGUGAAAUUCGUAGAUAUUAGGAGGAACAUCAGGGGCGAAGGCGGCCAUCUGGACCUUUAACUGACGCUGAGGCGCGAAAGCGUGGGUAGCAAACA